rnacentral:sRNA from 1 species
UUGAAAACUUGUUUUGCAGGAGAACCCUGCAACUGGUAGAAAAGCUGAUGCUGUUUUAGCUGCCCAAAAAGCUCUAGAGGUAGCCUUGAGGCUUGUGAAGCCUGGCAACACAAAUUACAAUGCUACAGAUGGUGUACAGAAGGUAACAGAAGAUUUCAAAUGUAAACCAAUAGAAGGUAUGCUUUCACAUCAGUUGAAACGACACAUAAUUGAUGGUGAAAAGGCUUUUAUACAGAAUCCAACUGAAGCUCAGAGG